ACCAAUCCUAUGCCAGGACGUAGCAAGGCUCCUGAGGCAAGCUGGGGAAUGCAGUUCUUCCUGGCCACAACAUUUUGAAUCUCACACUGCUGAAAAUACUAAUUAAUCUCUUGGGUUUCAAUAAGAAAGAAAUGAUUUCUACGAAAAGGUCAAGAAACAAAUGAAGAUGGGAAUUUGUUCAUUAUUAAGGGUACCCCUGUAAAGAAGGCUUCUUUCCCCAUCCAAAUCCAAAAGGAUAAAGUAUGACUCACACUCCAUCCAUGACAAUGAAUGGUCCGCAUAUUAUCCUGACUCACCAAUAAGGUGAAGGGGAUUGGAGACGGCUAUCAUCUUCUAAGUAUUGACAUGUUAGAAGACAGAAACACCAGAUGGUCCAGGAGCAUAACAGGCUAAGUUUGACAGCACAAAAGUCAAGCAUAAGUAGAACUACAUAAGUAGUACUUCAAGCAGAAGUAAUCUCUGUUUAUAAACAUUUUGAUGGGAUUUGCAAGAUUCUGGAGAAAUAUGUAACCAAAUUACAUGAAUUGGAUAAAACCAAAGGGACCAUCAGUUCCAAUCUACCCCUCAAUAAGAAUUCGCAAUAUGACAUAAUUGCCAACUGUCAUCUGUAUUUUUGCUUGAAGACUGCCUUUGUAGAGACAUCCAACUUUCUCGGCAGACUAUCCCCCUUUAGAAUACAUCUAAUUGUUCAGUUUGUUUGUUUUGAUUUACAAAAAGCCUUCUCUUUUUGACUUCCUGAUUAAAUUUGUUCAGCUAUUUGAGAUGUUAUAAAUGUUUCUUACAUUUACUAUUUAAGUGAAAUAAUAUUGCAAUAUAUGUGAACCUAUUUUUUCAGUCACUGUUUUUCACCACUUAUAAUUAAUUAAGUUCAAUAAUUUUCAUUAAAUAUAUAAGAUGUGUAGUGCAUUGUAUGAGAUAAUUGGGAUAAACAGAUGAAAAAGUAACUAGGCCAUCCCUGACUUUCAGUGUGGUGGAGCAAACAGAACACUGGUUCUAGGGUCAGAGGGUGCAAAUCCAGCCACUUAUCCUUACUACCUGUGUGACCUCAAACAAUUCAUUUCAUCCCCUUGAGCCUCAGUUUCCUCAUUUGUAAAAAAAGAAUAAGAUUAGAUUGCUUUUGUUAUCCCUUCAACCUCUAGAAUUAUGAUCUCAUGAUGUUUCAUUCUAUUAGUGAGAAAAGAAACAUAAACUAAGCAAAACUGCAAUAUGUCUAUAGGAGAGGUCAUAAGAUAAGGAAAAGGAUAAGAUGAUCACUUCAAGGUGGGAGGAUCAGGAAGAGAACCAAAGAAGAAGAAGUGAUGUGAAGGAGAGAGUCUUUUCCCAGUAAGGGAACUACAUGGAUAAAUGUGCACAACUGGGAAAGAGUAAGAUGACAAAGAUAAUAGUUGUUUGAUUGGAAUUGAGCAAUAAUGUGAAACAAAGAUGGGCUGAUUAUUUAGAGGUAGAUAGGGAAAUAGGGGGCAACUAACCUUUAAUAAAUAGCCCCCUGCCAAGGAAAUAUCUUCA
rnacentral:lncRNA from 1 species